AUUACAAGUCUGGCGUCAAGCUAUCUUAUAAAUUAUCCUUCCUUUUUCCCACUGGAUAUAGAAACAAUCCAGCAAUGUUAAAUUUUCAUUCCCCCAGCAUCCUUGAUCUAAAUUUAGUGUAAAUUUUCAUAAUAAAUAACUUCAGAAUUACAUUUAAAAGAUAAAAAAAAAAUGUGAGGAAUUUUUUAAAAUAUAUUAGCAUCCUUGCUCUAAAUUUAGUGCAAAUUUUUAUAACUUCAUAAUUACAUUUAAAAGAUAAAAAAAAUGUGAGGAAUUUAUAUCCUAUUAGAAGUCGAAACUAGGGCAAAAAAUAUUGAGGUUCCUAAAAAAUAUUAGGAUAUCAUGCACAAUCCACAAGCAACCUAACUGAUAAGGCAAAAGAACCACAUAGGCUAAGCAUCGGCUACUCAAGAAUUUUGUACUGGUUCAACAAUUAUAGAAUUACAUUUGAAAGCUUAAAAACAAUUCUAAUCCUUCACAAAUUUGCAGCAACCUUAUAUUUCAUCUACUCAUAUAUAAGUUUACUUGGGAGUAACAAUAUCUAAUGCGUAAUAUUUUCAUAUAUUUACCAUAUGAAAGAUUUUUAAAUGUCUUAGAUCUUUGCUAUAUUUUUCUCAUAAUUUUGUCUAUUAGUAUUUACUAUUUUAGUAAGUAAUGUUGAAUUAUAAAUUACAUUUAAUGAAAGAUUUAAAGUUAUUUCAUAUAGAUGAUGAAAAUCCUGCCUCCGGUCGUACUAUACUAUAAGUGGGGAUAAGCAGGCAGGUGAGGGUCAACAUGUGUGCAUCACCAGGUACAGGCAUACACCUCUAUGAUUUUUCCAGUAUUGACAUCUCAUCCAAAUAUUACAAGAUGGAAAACACCGCUUCGUAAUUUCUAAGCAUCGCUUUGAAAUUUCCAAAGUUAUCAGCUAUUCUCUUGUGAAGGAGAGCUGUAAACUUUUCUAGGGCCCAUGCUGUUUCGAAUUGGACGCUCAGUUUAGGUGCGUUGCCUGUAGAGUUAUUAGGUAAGGUUUUUUCCCUGUUUCCCCUUUCCUCUUCCAUGUUUAUCACUGUUAUUUAGAUUUUAAGAUUGUGUUGAGUUUUAAUUUGAAGAUUGUUUUCUUCUUUAGCUUACUUUUGCCUAAGUUUUUUAAGCUAAUUGGUGAUUAAUUGUUACAUCUCUGUUCUUCGUGGUUUAUUCUUCACUUUAAAGUGUUAUAAUUCUUUCAAGGUGCAGUUAGAAUGGUUUUGUGUUCGUCAACUGCAUUCGAACUGGAGUUAUAUACUUCCCCUUUUCCAACAAAGUGACUGCACAUCCAACCUGCUGAAGGUUUAUGUAUGAUCAGAUGCCUAUUUCCUCUUCUUUGGGCAACAAUUAUGUGAUGUCAUAUGUACAUCACAUUGUUCUGUGAUCAGGGGUGACUUUGUUUCCUGCAUAUGUCACCUGAACCUUGGGUAGCAAAGGUGUUCGAUAAUAAUUCUGGCUCAUUUUAUUUGGAAUAAGCAAGUCCUCCAAUUUUAUUUAACCUUGUUGUUGGGAGAGUUUCGAAUUUCUUCUUUUUUAUAGGCUUGCGAGCGGGAUGCUCUGCCUAACAUUUUGAACUGGCUGCAGCAUAAUAUACUAUUCAGUCAAGAUAUCCAUCUUCUGAAUGGCUCAUUUUACUGCAAGUAUCUUGCUUAGCUGCAUCGCUUGACAUACAGGUAUAGGAAUUUUACUGUGACUUGAAUUGGUACUAUCACGGUUCUGCUUCCUUUUUUGCGGAGUCCAUUUUUGGUGUGCAAUGAAGGCCUGAAUAUGUUCUUUCUGUAAUAGAAUACUAUAUACUGGAACAUUAGAAAAAGAUAAUGUUAUUUUACUGUGACUUGAAUUGGUACCAUCAUUUAGAAUUUUUCAAAGUUCAAGUGCUUGAAACCAUUUUCAAAUAAUGUAUGUACACAUUCAGUUUUAACUUAGCCUUAUAAAUUACAAAACAGAAAUGACCGCAGAACUGACCAAACUCUUGAAUUUUUUUUGGUUACAGGAUAUACGAUUUCUCACAAUUUUAUUAACAAUUUUGAUCUUUCCAAUUACUUCUUGCAAGAAUGCGGAUAGUGCUAGCAAUGCUCCCAUUCCGAUUCAUCGACCAAUCACAAGAUCUAACUCUAAUUCUUGGUUGAGAAAUUCUUAUUAUCAAAUACUUAUCAUCUGGUCUGCCUUCUUUUAUAAUAGUAUGGAGCAUUCUUCCUCCUCCAUGAAUUAUGCUGUGCAAAUGGCUAACAGGCAGCAACAAUCAACAAUCAAGAUAAAUUUUUGGACAAGGGUCUUGAAUGUUCAAGUAGGAGAGACAUCAAGACUAGCUUGGCUCGGUGUGGAGGUGGAUCCACUGGCUCAUUCAGAUGAUGUCUUGAAGACUUAUAGUAGACCUACUGAGGGUCUUAAUCAGCCUUCUUCAAAAUGGCCGGAUCCAAGAAUACCAUAGUUUCCGAUCUUGGGCUUCUUGGGAUCAAACAGGGUCAGACCGACUCAGCUUCUGAGGGGGAAACACCAGCUCCUAAGCUCGGAGAAAAAUAAUAGUCAGGAAAAAGGUAACAAGUGGAAUCUAGGUGGUUGACGAACUACCCACCAUCACUGUUCAAUUUUGCUGCUUGAGAAUUUAAUAAGCAUUUGAUUGAAUCACAAAAUGAAGACAGCUUAAAUGCAAGUCUAAUCCCGAGCAUUGCCAUGUCCAGCACAGCAGAAGGUGAUUAACUGUACUAGGAUGCUGGGGAGGCUCUCUUCUCAAAUUUUUACCUCAAUUCAUUUCCGAAUCUUCAUGAAUCAUGAGACGUGAGAUUAUUGGCUAGCUGAAAUAUUUCAGGCUGAACUUUUAAAAUGAAUUCCAUAGUUAGGAGUUAGGUUUAUUGCUGCAUUCCUUUAUUGUCAUGCUUUUAGAACUUGUAUUUAAAUUUUCAUAAAAAUUAUGAUUUCAUUGAAAGGAAAAUGUAGGGACCCUGCUAGAUUUGAAAGAGAUCCUAUGUAAGAGCCCUAUUUUUCAAAACACAAAUGUUAAUGUGUCGGUAUGUAGGUUGUACUAUCACAAUGGAACGGAGGCUUACUAUCGAAGCAGUAACGCUGUUAACUACAGAGUGGAUGUGCAAAGUUCGGUAGUGGAGAAAUUCCACCAAACAGAAAGCAAAGACCAGUCCGUUCAUUUCCAACAAUAAUUGUACAAGAUGAAAUUAUCUGCUUGGGUUAAAAACGGGACAGACUUACUUUACUUACGUCCUUCAAGAUUACUCUGAUUGAAAAUGUUUAUGGGGCUUAAAGCUUCUAACAUGUUGCAGUACGAAGCUACUUCCCCUGAUUUGGAAUGCUGAGCUACUUCCCCUGAUUUGGAAUGCUGAGCUUGUAACGGAUGAUGAUAUUGUGUAAAUAAAGCACCAUUCCCCUGUGAAGGCUGAGUCUUUUGCUGGAUAAUUGCUAUGCAUAUGCUGACAGCAUAACAUUUUCCUAAUUUGCGUGCUUGCUGAAGUAGAAAAAAAAGCAUUGACAAGUUGGGUACUAUGCUGGAAUUGCUUCAGCUGAUUUAUCAGGUCAAAGUGCUUCGACUUUUUUGAAUUUGUUGACUCAUGUACUUCUUCUAACACUGCUGAGAUAUUCAUUAACCAAAAUCACUGUUAUUACUUA